rnacentral:rRNA from 1 species
GAUGAACGCUCGCUACAGGCUUAACACAUGCAAGUCGCGGGGCAGCAUGGGAGUUGCUUGCAAUCCCCGAUGGCGACCGGCGCACGGGUGAGUAACGCGUAUCCAACCUGCCCUUCACCACGGGAUAACCCGGCGAAAGUCGGACUAAUACCGUAUGUUGUCCAUUGACGGCCUCCGAUUUGGACGAAAGGUUUGGCGGUGAAGGAUGGGGAUGCGUCCGAUUAGCUGGACGGCGGGGUGACGGCCCACCGUGGCGACGAUCGGUAGGGGUUCUGAGAGGAAGGUCCCCCACACUGGAACUGAGACACGGUCCAGACUCCUACGGGAGGCAGCAGUGAGGAAUAUUGGUCAAUGGGCGUAAGCCUGAACCAGCCAAGUAGCGUGCAGGAUGACGGCCCUAUGGGUUGUAAACUGCUUUUAUGCGGGGAUAAAGUGGCCCACGUGUGGGUUUUUGCAGGUACCGCAUGAAUAAGGACCGGCUAAUUCCGUG